AUUGAACGCUAGCGGGAUGCUUUACACAUGCAAGUCGAACGGAGUGGCGGACGGGUGAGUAAUAUAUCGGAACGUGCCCAGUAGCGGGGGAUAACUACUAGAAAGAGUGGCUAAUACCGCAUUCUCUUGUAGCGGCCGAUAUCGGAUUCGCUAGUUGGUGGGGUAAAGGCUCACCACGGCCACGAUCCGUAGCUGGUGUGAGGGGACGACCAGCCACACUGGGACUGGGACACGGCCCAGACUCCUACGGGAGGCAGCAGUGGGGAAUAUUGGACAAGGGGGGAAACCCUGAUGCAGCCAUCCCGCGUGUAUGAUGAAGGCCUUCGGGUUGUAAAGUACUUUUGGCGGGGAAGCGUUAUCUGCAGAAUAAGCACCGGCUAACUACGUGCCAGCAGCCGCGGUAAUUC
rnacentral:rRNA from 1 species